AGGGUGAUAUGAAUUGGGCUGGGGGGACAGGGACGGCAAUCAGAGGGCCCCUGGGCUUUGGGGAUGGAAGUCAGAGAGCCCCUGGAACACGGGGGACGACAGGUAGCCUUGUCUUCAUCUGUCAACUCCUCCAAAAUUUAAAAACACAAACCAGAUAACUCCUGCUUAAUUUUCCAACCAUCAAUUUUUUAUUCACCCAGCCUAAAAGUCCUGAUUAUCAGUUCUGGGUCCCUGGCAAUGACUGUUGGGUACAAACUGAGAAGCUGUGCUCUGAAGGUAGGGCUGGGCUUUUCACUGACCAUGUAGGUGGAUUAGUUGUGUGGGCAAAGUAUGUCAUCCUAGCCACUAUGUUUUCUGCACCUGGAGUAGACAGCACCUUGAUAGCUCAGUUGGUAGAGCACAGGUCUUUAGGCACUUCCUCAUAUGAAGUGCUGUCAUUCCAAGGUCGCUGGUUCAACUCCCACUCAAACCAAGCCUUGUCUUUACCUGUCAGCUCCACCAAAAUUUAAAAACACAAACAAGAUAACUCCUACUUUACUUUCCAACCAUCAUUUUUUUAUUCACCAGCCUAAAAGUCCUGAUUAUCAGUUCUGGGUCCCUGGCAAUGACUGUUGGGUACAAACUGAGAAGCUGUGCUCUGAAGGUAGGGCUGGGCCUUUCACUGACCAUGUAGGUGGAUUAGUUGUGUGGGCAAAGUAUGUCAUCAUAGCGACUAUGUUUUCUGCACUUGUAGUAGAUAGCACCUUGAUAGCUCAGUUGUUAGAGCACAGGUCUUUAGGCAGUUCCUCAUAUGAAGUGCUGUCAUUCCAAUGUCGCUGGUUCAACUCCCGCUCAAAGCAAGCCUUGUCUUCACCUGUCAGCUCCUCCAAAAUUUAAAAACACAAACAAGAUAACUCCUACUUUAUUUUCCAACCAUCAAUUUUUUUAUUCACCCAGCCUUAAAGUCCUGAUUAUCAGUUCUGGGUCCCUGGCAAUGACUGUUGGGUACAAACUGAGAAGCUGUGCUCUGAAGGUAGGGCUGGGCUUUUCACUGACCAUGUAGGUGGAUUAGUUGUGUGGGCAAAGUAUGUCAUCAUAGCGACUAUGUUUUCUGCACUUGUAGUAGAUAGCACCUUGAUAGCUCAUUUGGUAGAGCACAGGUCUUUAGGCAGUUCCUCAUAUGAAGUGCUGUCAUUCCAAGAUCCCUGGUUCAACUCCCGCUCAAAGCAAGCCUUGUCUUCACCUGUCAGCUCCUCCAAAAUUUAAAAACACAAACAAGAUAACUCCUACUUUAUUUUCCAACCAUCAAUUUUUUUAUUCACCCAGCCUUAAAGUCCUGAUUAUCAGUUCUGGGUCCCUGGCAAUGACUGUUGGGUACAAACUGAGAAGCUGUGCUCUGAAGGUAGGGCUGGGCUUUUCACUGACCAUGUAGGUGGAUUAGUUGUGUGGGCAAAGUAUGUCAUCAUAGCGACUAUGUUUUCUGCACUUGUAGUAGAUAGCACCUUGAUAGCUCAUUUGGUAGAGCACAGGUCUUUAGGCAGUUCCUCAUAUGAAGUGCUGUCAUUCCAAGGUUGCUGGUGCAACUCCCGCUCAAAGCAAGCCUUGUCUUCACCUGUCAGCUCCUCCAAAAUUUAAAAACACAAACAAGAUAACUCCUACUUUAUUUUCCAACCAUCAAUUUUUUUAUUCACCCAGCCUUAAAGUCCUGAUUAUCAGUUCUGGGUCCCUGGCAAUGACUGUUGGGUACAAACUGAGAAGCUGUGCUCUGAAGGUAGGGCUGGGCUUUUCACUGACCAUGUAGGUGGAUUAGUUGUGUGGGCAAAGUAUGUCAUCCUAGCCACUAUGUUUUCUGCACCUGGAGUAGACAGCACCUUGAUAGCUCAGUUGGUAGAGCACAGGUCUUUAGGCACUUCCUCAUAUGAAGUGCUGUCAUUCCAAGGUCGCUGGUUCAACUCCCACUCAAACCAAGCCUUGUCUUUACCUGUCAGCUCCACCAAAAUUUAAAAACACAAACAAGAUAACUCCUACUUUACUUUCCAACCAUCAUUUUUUUAUUCACCAGCCUAAAAGUCCUGAUUAUCAGUUCUGGGUCCCUGGCAAUGACUGUUGGGUACAAACUGAGAAGCUGUGCUCUGAAGGUAGGGCUGGGCCUUUCACUGACCAUGUAGGUGGAUUAGUUGUGUGGGCAAAGUAUGUCAUCAUAGCGACUAUGUUUUCUGCACUUGUAGUAGAUAGCACCUUGAUAGCUCAGUUGUUAGAGCACAGGUCUUUAGGCAGUUCCUCAUAUGAAGUGCUGUUAUUCCAAUGUCGCUGGUUCAACUCCCGCUCAAAGCAAGCCUUGUCUUCACCUGUCAGCUCCUCCAAAAUUUAAAAACACAAACAAGAUAACUCCUACUUUAUUUUCCAACCAUCAUUUUUUUUAUUCACCCAGCCUUAAAGUCCUGAUUAUCAGUUCUGGGUCCCUGGCAAUGACUGUUGGGUACAAACUGAGAAGCUGUGCUCUGAAGGUAGGGCUGGGCUUUUCACUGACCAUGUAGGUGGAUAAGUUGUGUGGGCAAAGUAUGUCAUCAUAGCGACUAUGUUUUCUGCACUUGUAGUAGAUAGCACCUUGAUAGCUCAGUUGGUAGAGCACAGGUCUUUAGGCAGUUCCUCAUAUGAAGUGCUGUCAUUCCAAGGUUGCUGGUUCAACUCCCGCUCAAAGCAAGCCUUGUCUUCACCUGUCAGCUCCUCCAAAAUUUAAAAACACAAACAAGAUAACUCCUACUUUAUUUUCCAACCAUCAAUUUUUUUAUUCACCCAGCCUUAAAGUCCUGAUUAUCAGUUCUGGGUCCCUGGCAAUGACUGUUGGGUACAAACUGAGAAGCUGUGCUCUGAAGGUAGGGCUGGGCUUUUCACUGACCAUGUAGGUGGAUUAGUUGUGUGGGCAAAGUAUGUCAUCAUAGCGACUAUGUUUUCUGCACUUGUAGUAGAUAGCACCUUGAUAGCUCAUUUGGUAGAGCACAGGUCUUUAGGCAGUUCCUCAUAUGAAGUGCUGUCAUUCCAAGGUUGCUGGUUCAACUCCCGCUCAAAGCAAGCCUUGUCUUCACCUGUCAGCUCCUCCAAAAUUUAAAAACACAAACAAGAUAACUCCUACUUUAUUUUCCAACCAUCAAUUUUUUUAUUCACCCAGCCUUAAAGUCCUGAUUAUCAGUUCUGGGUCCCUGGCAAUGGCUGUUGGGUACAAACUGAGAAGCUGUGCUCUGAAGGUAGGGCUGGGCUUUUCACUGACCAUGUAGGUGAUUAGUUGUGUGGGCAAAGUAUGUCAUCAUAGCGACUAUGUUUUCUGCACUUGUAGUAGACAGCACCUUGAUAGCUCAGUUGGUACAGCAGACCACUGUAGGCAAUUCCUCAUAUGAAGUGCGGUCAUUCCAAGGUCGCUGGUUCAACUCCCGCUCAAAGCAAGCCUUGUCUUCACCUGUCAGCUCCUCCAAAAUUUAAAAACACAAACAAGAUAACUCCUACUUUAUUUUCCAACCAUCAAUUUUUUAUUCACCCAGCCUAAAAGUCCUGAUUAUCAGUUCUGGGUCCCUGGCAAUGACUGUUGGGUACAAACUGAGAAGCUGUGCUCUGAAGGUAGGGCUGGGCUUUUCACUGACCAUGUAGGUGGAUUAGUUGUGUGGGCAAAGUAUGUCAUCCUAGCCACUAUGUUUUCUGCACUUGUAGUAGACAGCACCUUGAUAGCUCAGUUGGUGGAGCACAGGUCUGUAGGCAGUUCCUCAUAUGAAGUGCAGUCAUUCCAAGGUAGCUGGUUCAACUCCCGCUCAAAGCAAGCCUUGUCUUCACCUGUCUCCUCCUCCAAAAUUGAAAAACACAAACAAGAUAACUCCUACUUUAUUUUCCAACCAUCAAUUUUUUUUUUCACCCAGCCUAAAAGUCCUGAUUAUCAGUUCUGGGUCCCUGGCAAUGACUGUUGGGUACAAACUGAGACGCUGUGCUCUGAAGGUAGGGCUGGGCUUUUCACUGACCAUGUAGGUGGAUUAGUUGUGUGGGCAAAGUGUGUCAUCAUAGCCACUAUGUUUUCUGCACUGGUUGUUUAUAGCACCUUGAUAGCUCAGUUGGUAGAGCAGAGGACUGUAGGCAGUUCUUCAUAUGAAGUGCUCUCAUUCCAAGGUAGCUGGUUCAACUCCCGCUCAAAGCAAGCCUUGUCUUCACCUGUCAGCUCCUCCAAUAUUUGAAAAAACACACAAGAUAACUCCUACUUUAUUUUCCAACCAUCAAUUUUUUUAUUCACCCAGCCUUAAAGUCCUGAUUAUCAGUUCUGGGUCCCUGGCAAUGACUGUUGGGUACAAACUGAGAAGCUGUGCUCUGAAGGUAGGGCUGGGCUUUUCACUGACCAUGUAGGUGGAUUAGUUGUGUGGGCAAAGUAUGUCAUCAUAGCGACUAUGUUUUCUGCACUUGUAGUAGAUAGCACCUUGAUAGCUCAGUUGGUAGAGCACAGGUCUUUACGAAGUUCCUCAUAUGAAGUGCUGUCAUUCCAAGGUUGCUGUUUCAACUCCCGCUCAAAGCAAGCCUUGUCUUCACCUGUCAGCUCCUCCAAAAUUUAAAAACACAAACAAGAUAACUCCUACUUUAUUUUCCAACCCUCAAUUUUUUUAUUCACCCAGCCUUAAAGUCCUGAUUAUCAGUUCUGGGUCCCUGGCAAUGGCUGUUGGGUACAAACUGAGAAGCUGUGCUCUGAAGGUAGGGCUGGGCUUUUCACUGACCAUGUAGGUGAUUAGUUGUGUGGGCAAAGUAUGUCAUCAUAGCGACUAUGUUUUCUGCACUUGUAGUAGACAGCACCUUGAUAGCUCAGUUGGUACAGCAGACCACUGUAGGCAAUUCCUCAUAUGAAGUGCGGUCAUUCCAAGGUCGCUGGUUCAACUCCCGCUCAAAGCAAGCCUUGUCUUCACCUGUCAGCUCCUCCAAUAUUUGAAAAAACACACAAGAUAACUCCUACUUUACUUUCCAACCAUCAAUUUUUUAUUCACCAGCCUAAAAGUCCUGAUUAUCAGUUCUGGGUCCCUGGCAAUGACUGUUGGGUACAAACUGAGAAGCUGUGCUCUGAAGGUAGGGCUGGGCUUUUAACUGACCAUGUAGGUGGAUUAGUUGUGUGGGCAAAGUGUGUCAUCAUAGCCACUAUGUUUUCUGCACUUGUAAUAGACAUCACCUUGAUAGCUCAGUUGGUAGAGCAGAGGACUGUAGGGAGUUCCUCAUAUGAAGUGCUGUCAUUCCAAGGUCGCUGGUUCAACUCCCGCUCAAAGCAAGCCUUGUCUUCACCUGUCAGCUCCUCCAAAAUUUAAAAACACAAACAAGAUAACUCCUACUUUAUUUUCAAACCAUCAAUUUUUUAUUCACCCAGCCUAAAAGUCCUGAUUAUCAGUUCUGGGUCCCUGGCAAUGGCUGUUGGGUACAAACUGAGAAGCUGUGCUCUGAAGGUAGGGCUGGGCUUUUCACUGACCAUGUAGGUGAUUAGUUGUGUGGGCAAAGUAUGUCAUCAUAGCGACUAUGUUUUCUGCACUUGUAGUAGACAGCACCUUGAUAGCUCAGUUGGUACAGCAGACCACUGUAGGCAAUUCCUCAUAUGAAGUGCGGUCAUUCCAAGGUCGCUGGUUCAACUCCCGCUCAAAGCAAGCCUUGUCUUCACCUGUCAGCUCCUCCAAUAUUUGAAAAAACACACAAGAUAACUCCUACUUUACUUUCCAACCAUCAAUUUUUUAUUCACCAGCCUAAAAGUCCUGAUUAUCAGUUCUGGGUCCCUGGCAAUGACUGUUGGGUACAAACUGAGAAGCUGUGCUCUGAAGGUAGGGCUGGGCUUUUAACUGACCAUGUAGGUGGAUUAGUUGUGUGGGCAAAGUGUGUCAUCAUAGCCACUAUGUUUUCUGCACUUGUAAUAGACAUCACCUUGAUAGCUCAGUUGGUAGAGCAGAGGACUGUAGGGAGUUCCUCAUAUGAAGUGCUGUCAUUCCAAGGUCGCUGGUUCAACUCCCGCUCAAAGCAAGCCUUGUCUUCACCUGUCAGCUCCUCCAAAAUUUAAAAACACAAACAAGAUAACUCCUACUUUAUUUUCAAACCAUCAAUUUUUUAUUCACCCAGCCUAAAAGUCCUGAUUAUCAGUUCUGGGUCCCUGGCAAUGGCUGUUGGGUACAAACUGAGAAGCUGUGCUCUGAAGGUAGGGCUGGGCUUUUCACUGACCAUGUAGGUGUACUAGUUGUGUGGGCAAAGUAUGUCAUCAUAGCGACUAUGUUUUCUGCACUUGUAGUAGACAGCACCUUGAUAGCUCAGUUGGUACAGCACAGGUCUUUAGGCAGUUCCUCAUAUGAAGUGCUGUCAUUCCAAGGUCGCUGGUUCAACUCCCGCUCAAAGCAAGCCUUGUCUUCACCUGUCAGCUCCUCCAAAAUUUAAAAACACAAACAAGAUAACUCCUACUUUAUUUUCCAACCAUCAAUUUUUUAUUCACCCAGCCUAAAAGUCCUGAUUAUCAGUUCUGGGUCCCUGGCAAUGACUGUUGGGUACAAACUGAGAAGCUGUGCUCUGAAGGUAGGGCUGGGCUUUUCACUGACCAUGUAGGUGGAUUAGUUGUGUGGGCAAAGUAUGUCAUCCUAGCCACUAUGUUUUCUGCACUUGUAGUAGACAGCACCUUGAUAGCUCAGUUGGUAGAGCACAGGUCUGUAGGCAGUUCCUCAUAUGAAGUGCUGUCAUUCCAAGGUAGCUGGUUCAACUCCCGCUCAAAGCAAGCCUUGUCUUCACCUGUCUCCUCCUCCAAAAUUGAAAAACACAAACAAGAUAACUCCUACUUUAUUUUCCAACCAUCAAUUUUUUAUUCACCCAGCCUAAAAGUCCUGAUUAUCAGUUCUGGGUCCCUGGCAAUGGCUGUUGGGUACAAACCGAGAAGCUGUGCUCUGAAGGUAGGGCUGGGCUUUUCACUGACCAUGUAGGUGGAUUAGUUGUGUGGGCAAAGUGUGUCAUAAUAGCCACUAUGUUUUCUGCACUGGUUGUUUAUAGCACCUUGAUAGCUCAGUUGGUAGAGCAGAGGACUGUAGGCAGUUCUUCAUAUGAAGUGCUCUCAUUCCAAUGUCGCUGGUUCAACUCCCGCUCAAAGCAAGCCUUGUCUUCACCUGUCAGCUCCUCCAAAAUUUAAAAACACAAACAACAUAACUCCUACUUUAUUUUCCAACCAUCAUUUUUUUAUUCACCAGCCUAAAAGUCCUGAUUAUCAGUUCUGGGUCCCUGGCAAUGACUGUUGGGUACAAACCGAGAAGCUGUGCUCUGAAGGUAGGGCUGGGCUUUUCACUGACCAUGUAGGUGGAUUAGUUGUGUGGGCAAAGUGUGUCAUCAUAGCCACUAUGUUUUCUGCACUGGUUGUUUAUAGCACCUUGAUAGCUCAGUUGGUAGAGCAGAGGACUGUAGGCAGUUCUUCAUAUGAAGUGCUCUCAUUCCAAGGUCGCUGGUUCAACUCCCGCUCAAAGCAAGCCUUGUCUUCACCUGUCAGCUCCUCCAAAAUUUGAAAACACACAAGAUAACUCCUACUUUAUUUUCCAACCAUCAAUUUUUUUAAUCACCCAGCCUUAAAGUCCUGAUUAUCAGUUCUGGGUCCCUGGCAAUGACUGUUGGGUACAAACUGAGAAGCUGUGCUCUGAAGGUAGGGCUGGGCUUUUCACUGACCAUGUAGGUGGAUUAGUUGUGUGGGCAAAGUAUGUCAUCAUAGCGACUAUGUUUUCUGCACUUGUAGUAGAUAGCACCUUGAUAGCUCAGUUGGUAGAGCACAGGUCUUUAGGCAGUUCCUCAUAUGAAGUGCUGUCAUUCCAAGGUUGCUGGUUCAACUCCCGCUCAAAGCAAGCCUUGUCUUCACCUGUCACCUCCUCCAAAAUUUAAAAACACAAACAAGAUAACUCCUACUUUAUUUUCCAACCCUCAAUUUUUUUAUUCACCCAGCCUUAAAGUCCUGAUUAUCAGUUCUGGGUCCCUGGCAAUGGCUGUUGGGUACAAACUGAGAAGCUGUGCUCUGAAGGUAGGGCUGGGCUUUUCACUGACCAUGUAGGUGAUUAGUUGUGUGGGCAAAGUAUGUCAUCAUAGCGACUAUGUUUUCUGCACUUGUAGUAGACAGCACCUUGAUAGCUCAGUUGGUACAGCAGAGGACUGUAGGCAGUUCUUCAUAUGAAGUGCGGUCAUUCCCAGGUCGCUGGUUCAACUCCCGCUCAAAGCAAGCCUUGUCUUCACCUGUCAGCUCCUCCAAAAUUUAAAAACACAAACAAGAUAACUCCUACUUUAUUUUCCAACCAUCAAUUUUUUAUUCACCCAGCCUAAAAGUCCUGAUUAUCAGUUCUGGGUCCCUGGCAAUGACUGUUGGGUACAAACUGAGAAGCUGUGCUCUGAAGGUAGGGCUGGGCUUUUCACUGACCAUGUAGGUGGAUUAGUUGUGUGGGCAAAGUAUGUCAUCCUAGCCACUAUGUUUUCUGCACUUGUAGUAGACAGCACCUUGAUAGCUCAGUUGGUAGAGCACAGGUCUGUAGGCAGUUCCUCAUAUGAAGUGCUGUCAUUCCAAGGUAGCUGGUUCAACUCCCGCUCAAAGCAAGCCUUGUCUUCACCUGUCUCCUCCUCCAAAAUUGAAAAACACAAACAAGAUAACUCCUAAUUUAUUUUCCAACCAUCAAUUUUUUUUUCACCCAGCCUAAAAGUCCUGAUUAUCAGUUCUGGGUCCCUGGCAAUGACUGUUGGGUACAAACUGAGACGCUGUGCUCUGAAGGUAGGGCUGGGCUUUUCACUGACCAUGUAGGUGGAUUAGUUGUGUGGGCAAAGUGUGUCAUCAUAGCCACUAUGUUUUCUGCACUGGUUGUUUAUAGCACCUUGAUAGCUCAGUUGGUAGAGCAGAGGACUGUAGGCACUUCUUCAUAUGAAGUGCUCUCAUUCCAAGAUCCCUGGUUCAACUCCCGCUCAAAGCAAGCCUUGUCUUCACCUGUCAGCUCCUCCAAAAUUUAAAAAAACACACAAGAUAACUCCUACUUUAUUUUCCAACCAUCAAUUUUUUAUUCACCCAGCCUAAAAGUCCUGAUUAUCAGUUCUGGGUCCCUGGCAAUGGCUGUUGGGUACAAACUGAGAAGCUGUGCUCUGAAUGUAGGGCUGGGCUUUUCACUGACCAUGUAGGUGGAUUAGUUGUGUGUGCAAAGUAUGUCAUAAUAGCCACUAUGUUUUCUGCACUUGUAGUAGACAGCACCUUGAUAGCUCAGUUGGUAGAGCAGACGACUGUAGGCAGUUCCUCAUAUGAAGUGCUGUCAUUCCAAGGUCGCUGGUUCAACUCCCGCUCAAAGCAAGCCUUGUCUUCACCUGUCAGCUCCUCCAAAAUUUAAAAACACAAACAAGAUAACUCCUAAUUUAUUUUCCAACCAUCAAUUUUUUAUUCACCCAGCCUAAAAGUCCUGAUUAUCAGUUCUGGGUCCCUGGCAAUGGCUGUUGGGUACAAACUGAGAAGCUGUGCUCUGAAAUUAGGGCUGGGCUUUUCACUGACCAUAUAGGUGGAUUAGUUGUGUGGGCAAAGUGUGUCAUCAUAGCCACUAUGUUUUCUGCACUGGUUGUUUAUAGCACCUUGAUAGCUCAGUUGGUAGAGCAGAGGACUGUAGGCAGUUCUUCAUAUGAAGUGCUCUCAUUCCAAGGUCGCUGGUUCAACUCCCGCUCAAAGCAAGCCUUGUCUUCACCUGUCAGCUCCUCCAAAAUUUAAAAAAAACACACAAGAUAACUCCUACUUUAUUUUCCAACCAUCAAUUUUUUAUUCACCCAGCCUAUAAGUCCUGAUUAUCAGUUCUGGGUCCCUGGCAAUGGCUGUUGGGUACAAACUGAGAAGCUGUGCUCUGAAGGUAGGGCUGGGCUUUUCACUGACCAUGUAGGUGGAUUAGUUGUGUGUGCAAAGUAUGUCAUAAUAGCCACUAUGUUUUCUGCACUUGUAGUAGACAGCACCUUCAUAGCUCAGUUGGUAGAGCAGAGGACUGUAGGCAGUUCUUCAUAUAAAGUGCUCUCAUUCCAAUGUCGCUGGUUCAACUCCCGCUCAAAGCAAGCCUUGUCUUCACCUGUCAGCUCCUCCAAAAUUUAAAAAAACACACAAGAUAACUCCUACUUUAUUUUCCAACCAUCAAUUUUUUAUUCACCCAGCCUAAAAGUCCUGAUUAUCAGUUCUGGGUCCCUGGCAAUGGCUGUUGGGUACAAACUGAGAAGCUGUGCUCUGAAGGUAGGGCUGGGCUUUUCACUGACCAUGUAGGUGGAUUAGUUGUGUGGGCAAAGUGUGUCAUCAUAGCCACUAUGUUUUCUGCACUGGUUGUUUAUAGCACCUUGAUAGCUCAGUUGGUAGAGCAGAGGACUGUAGGCAGUUCUUCAUAUGAAGUGCUCUCAUUCCAAUGUCGCUGGUUCAACUCCCGCUCAAAGCAAGCCUUGUCUUCACCUGUCAGCUCCUCCAAAAUUUAAAAACACAAACAAGAUAACUCCUACUUUAUUUUCCAACCAUCAUUUUUUUAUUCACCAGCCUAAAAGUCCUGAUUAUCAGUUCUGGGUCCCUGGCAAUGACUGUUGGGUACAAACUGAGAAGCUGUGCUCUGAAGGUAGGGCUGGGCUUUUCACUGACCAUGUAGGUGGAUUAGUUGUGUGGGCAAAGUGUGUCAUCAUAGCCACUAUGUUUUCUGCACUUGUAGUAGACAGCACCUUGAUAGCUCAGUUGGUAGAGCAGAGGACUGUAAGCAGUUCCUCAUAUGAAGUGCUGUCAUUCCAAGGUCGCUGGUUCAACUCCCGCUCAAAGCAAGCCUUGUCUUCACCUGUCAGCUCCUCCAAAAUUUAAAAACACAAACAAGAUAACUCCUACUUUAUUUUCAAACCAUCAAUUUUUUAUUCACCCAGCCUAAAAGUCCUGAUUAUCAGUUCUGGGUCCCUGGCAAUGGCUGUUGGGUACAAACUGAGAAGCUGUGCUCUGAAAUUAGGGCUGGGCUUUUCACUGACCAUGUAGGUGGAUUAGUUGUGUGGGCAAAGUAUGUCAUCAUAGCCACUAUGUUUUCUGCACUUGUAGUAGACAGCACCUUGAUAGCUCAGUUGGAAGAGCAGAGGACUGUAGGCAGUUCCUCAUAUAAAGUGCUGUCAUUUCAAGGUCGCUGGUUCAACUCCAGCUCAGAGCAAGCCUUGGCUUCACCUCUCAGCCCCUCAAAUAUUUAAAAACACAAACUAGAUAACUCCUACUUUAUUUUCCAACCAUCACUUUUUUUAUUCACCCAGCCUAAAAGUCCUGAUUAUCAGUUCUGGGUCCCUGGCAAUGGCUGUUGGGUACAAACUGAGAAGUUGUGCUCUGAAGGUAGGGCUGGGCUUUUCACUGACCAUGUAGGUGUACUAGUUGUGAGGGCAAAGUAUGUCAUCAUAGCGACUAUGUUUUCUGCACUUGUAGUAGACAGCACCUUGAUAGCUCAGUUGGUAGAGCACAGGUCUUUAGGCAGUUCCUCAUAUGAAGUGCUGUCAUUCCAAGGUCGCUGGUUCAACUCCCGCUCAAAGCAAGCCUUGUCUUCACCUGUCAGCUCCUCCAAAAUUUAAAAACACAAACAAGAUAACUCCUACUUUAUUUUCCAACCAUCAAUUUUUUUUUCACCCAGCCUAAAAGUCCUGAUUAUCAGUUCUGGGUCCCUGGCAAUGACUGUUGGGUACAAACUGAGAAGCUGUGCUCUGAAGGUAGGGCUGGGCUUUUCACUGACCAUGUAGGUGGAUUAGUUGUGUGGGCAAAGUAUGUCAUCCUAGCCACUAUGUUUUCUGCACUUGUAGUAGACAGCACCUUGAUAGCUCAGUUGGUAGAGCACAGGUCUGUAGGCAGUUCCUCAUAUGAAGUGCUGUCAUUCCAAGGUAGCUGGUUCAACUCCCGCUCAAAGCAAGCCUUGUCUUCACCUGUCUCCUCCUCCAAAAUUGAAAAACACAAACAAGAUAACUCCUACUUUAUUUUCCAACCAUCAAUUUUUUUUUCACCCAGCCUAAAAGUCCUGAUUAUCAGUUCUGGGUCCCUGGCAAUGACUGUUGGGUACAAACUGAGACGCUGUGCUCUGAAGGUAGGGCUGGGCUUUUCACUGACCAUGUAGGUGGAUUAGUUGUGUGGGCAAAGUGUGUCAUCAUAGCCACUAUGUUUUCUGCACUGGUUGUUUAUAGCACCUUGAUAGCUCAGUUGGUAGAGCAGAGGACUGUAGGCAGUUCUUCAUAUGAAGUGCUGUCAUUCCAAGGUCGCUGGUUCAACUCCCGCUCAAAGCAAGCCUUGUCUUCACCUGUCAGCUCCUCCAAAAUUUAAAAACACAAACAAGAUAACUCCUACUUUAUUUUCCAACCAUCAAUUUUUUUAUUCACCCAGCCUUAAAGUCCUGAUUAUCAGUUCUGGGUCCCUGGCAAUGGCUGUUGGGUACAAACUGAGAAGCUGUGCUCUGAAGGUAGGGCUGGGCUUUUCACUGACCAUGUAGGUGGAUUAGUUGUGUGGGCAAAGUAUGUCAUCAUAGCGACUAUGUUUUCUGCACUUGUAGUAGACAGCACCUUGAUAGCUCAGUUGGUACAGCAGACCACUGUAGGCAAUUCCUCAUAUGAAGUGCGGUCAUUCCAAGGUCGCUCGUUCAACUCCCGCUCAAAGCAAGCCUUGUCUUCACCUGUCAGCUCCUCCAAAAUUUAAAAACACAAACAAGAUAACUCCUACUUUAUUUUCCAACCAUCAAUUUUUUAUUCACCCAGCCUAAAAGUCCUGAUUAUCAGUUCUGGGUCCCUGGCAAUGACUGUUGGGUACAAACUGAGAAGCUGUGCUCUGAAGGUAGGGCUGGGCUUUUCACUGACCAUGUAGGUGGAUUCGUUGUGUGGGCAAAGUAUGUCAUCCUAGCCACUAUGUUUUCUGCACUUGUAGUAGACAGCACCUUGAUAGCUCAGUUGGUAGAGCACAGGUCUGUAGGCAGUUCCUCAUAUGAAGUGCUGUCAUUCCAAGGUAGCUGGUUGAACUCCCGCUCAAAGCAAGCCUUGUCUUCACCUGUCAGCUCCUCCAAAAUUUAAAAACACAAACAAGAUAACUCCUACUUUAUUUUCCAACCAUCAAUUUUUUUAUUCACCCAGCCUUAAAGUCCUGAUUAUCAGUUCUGGGUCCCUGGCAAUGACUGUUGGGUACAAACUGAGAAGCUGUGCUCUGAAGGUAGGGCUGGGCUUUUCACUGACCAUGUAGGUGGAUUAGUUGUGUGGGCAAAGUAUGUCAUCCUAGCCACUAUGUUUUCUGCACCUGGAGUAGACAGCACCUUGAUAGCUCAGUUGGUAGAGCACAGGUCUUUAGGCACUUCCUCAUAUGAAGUGCUGUCAUUCCAAGGUCGCUGGUUCAACUCCCACUCAAACCAAGCCUUGUCUUUACCUGUCAGCUCCACCAAAAUUUAAAAACACAAACAAGAUAACUCCUACUUUACUUUCCAACCAUCAUUUUUUUAUUCACCAGCCUAAAAGUCCUGAUUAUCAGUUCUGGGUCCCUGGCAAUGACUGUUGGGUACAAACUGAGAAGCUGUGCUCUGAAGGUAGGGCUGGGCCUUUCACUGACCAUGUAGGUGGAUUAGUUGUGUGGGCAAAGUAUGUCAUCAUAGCGACUAUGUUUUCUGCACUUGUAGUAGAUAGCACCUUGAUAGCUCAGUUGUUAGAGCACAGGUCUUUAGGCAGUUCCUCAUAUGAAGUGCUGUUAUUCCAAUGUCGCUGGUUCAACUCCCGCUCAAAGCAAGCCUUGUCUUCACCUGUCAGCUCCUCCAAAAUUUAAAAACACAAACAAGAUAACUCCUACUUUAUUUUCCAACCAUCAUUUUUUUUAUUCACCCAGCCUUAAAGUCCUGAUUAUCAGUUCUGGGUCCCUGGCAAUGACUGUUGGGUACAAACUGAGAAGCUGUGCUCUGAAGGUAGGGCUGGGCUUUUCACUGACCAUGUAGGUGGAUAAGUUGUGUGGGCAAAGUAUGUCAUCAUAGCGACUAUGUUUUCUGCACUUGUAGUAGAUAGCACCUUGAUAGCUCAGUUGGUAGAGCACAGGUCUUUAGGCAGUUCCUCAUAUGAAGUGCUGUCAUUCCAAGGUUGCUGGUUCAACUCCCGCUCAAAGCAAGCCUUGUCUUCACCUGUCAGCUCCUCCAAAAUUUAAAAACACAAACAAGAUAACUCCUACUUUAUUUUCCAACCAUCAAUUUUUUUAUUCACCCAGCCUUAAAGUCCUGAUUAUCAGUUCUGGGUCCCUGGCAAUGACUGUUGGGUACAAACUGAGAAGCUGUGCUCUGAAGGUAGGGCUGGGCUUUUCACUGACCAUGUAGGUGGAUUAGUUGUGUGGGCAAAGUAUGUCAUCAUAGCGACUAUGUUUUCUGCACUUGUAGUAGACAGCACCUUGAUAGCUCAGUUGGUACAGCAGACCACUGUAGGCAAUUCCUCAUAUGAAGUGCGGUCAUUCCAAGGUCGCUGGUUCAACUCCCGCUCAAAGCAAGCCUUGUCUUCACCUGUCAGCUCCUCCAAAAUUUAAAAACACAAACAAGAUAACUCCUACUUUAUUUUCCAACCAUCAAUUUUUUAUUCACCCAGCCUAAAAGUCCUGAUUAUCAGUUCUGGGUCCCUGGCAAUGACUGUUGGGUACAAACUGAGAAGCUGUGCUCUGAAGGUAGGGCUGGGCUUUUCACUGACCAUGUAGGUGGAUUAGUUGUGUGGGCAAAGUAUGUCAUCCUAGCCACUAUGUUUUCUGCACUUGUAGUAGACAGCACCUUGAUAGCUCAGUUGGUAGAGCACAGGUCUGUAGGCAGUUCCUCAUAUGAAGUGCUGUCAUUCCAAGGUAGCUGGUUGAACUCCCGCUCAAAGCAAGCCUUGUCUUCACCUGUCAGCUCCUCCAAAAUUUAAAAACACAAACAAGAUAACUCCUACUUUAUUUUCCAACCAUCAAUUUUUUUAUUCACCCAGCCUUAAAGUCCUGAUUAUCAGUUCUGGGUCCCUGGCAAUGACUGUUGGGUACAAACUGAGAAGCUGUGCUCUGAAGGUAGGGCUGGGCUUUUCACUGACCAUGUAGGUGGAUUAGUUGUGUGGGCAAAGUAUGUCAUCCUAGCCACUAUGUUUUCUGCACCUGGAGUAGACAGCACCUUGAUAGCUCAGUUGGUAGAGCACAGGUCUUUAGGCACUUCCUCAUAUGAAGUGCUGUCAUUCCAAGGUCGCUGGUUCAACUCCCACUCAAACCAAGCCUUGUCUUUACCUGUCAGCUCCACCAAAAUUUAAAAACACAAACAAGAUAACUCCUACUUUACUUUCCAACCAUCAUUUUUUUAUUCACCAGCCUAAAAGUCCUGAUUAUCAGUUCUGGGUCCCUGGCAAUGACUGUUGGGUACAAACUGAGAAGCUGUGCUCUGAAGGUAGGGCUGGGCCUUUCACUGACCAUGUAGGUGGAUUAGUUGUGUGGGCAAAGUAUGUCAUCAUAGCGACUAUGUUUUCUGCACUUGUAGUAGAUAGCACCUUGAUAGCUCAGUUGUUAGAGCACAGGUCUUUAGGCAGUUCCUCAUAUGAAGUGCUGUUAUUCCAAUGUCGCUGGUUCAACUCCCGCUCAAAGCAAGCCUUGUCUUCACCUGUCAGCUCCUCCAAAAUUUAAAAACACAAACAAGAUAACUCCUACUUUAUUUUCCAACCAUCAUUUUUUUUAUUCACCCAGCCUUAAAGUCCUGAUUAUCAGUUCUGGGUCCCUGGCAAUGACUGUUGGGUACAAACUGAGAAGCUGUGCUCUGAAGGUAGGGCUGGGCUUUUCACUGACCAUGUAGGUGGAUAAGUUGUGUGGGCAAAGUAUGUCAUCAUAGCGACUAUGUUUUCUGCACUUGUAGUAGAUAGCACCUUGAUAGCUCAGUUGGUAGAGCACAGGUCUUUAGGCAGUUCCUCAUAUGAAGUGCUGUCAUUCCAAGGUUGCUGGUUCAACUCCCGCUCAAAGCAAGCCUUGUCUUCACCUGUCAGCUCCUCCAAAAUUUAAAAACACAAACAAGAUAACUCCUACUUUAUUUUCCAACCAUCAAUUUUUUUAUUCACCCAGCCUUAAAGUCCUGAUUAUCAGUUCUGGGUCCCUGGCAAUGACUGUUGGGUACAAACUGAGAAGCUGUGCUCUGAAGGUAGGGCUGGGCUUUUCACUGACCAUGUAGGUGGAUUAGUUGUGUGGGCAAAGUAUGUCAUCAUAGCGACUAUGUUUUCUGCACUUGUAGUAGAUAGCACCUUGAUAGCUCAUUUGGUAGAGCACAGGUCUUUAGGCAGUUCCUCAUAUGAAGUGCUGUCAUUCCAAGGUUGCUGGUUCAACUCCCGCUCAAAGCAAGCCUUGUCUUCACCUGUCAGCUCCUCCAAAAUUUAAAAACACAAACAAGAUAACUCCUACUUUAUUUUCCAACCAUCAAUUUUUUUAUUCACCCAGCCUUAAAGUCCUGAUUAUCAGUUCUGGGUCCCUGGCAAUGGCUGUUGGGUACAAACUGAGAAGCUGUGCUCUGAAGGUAGGGCUGGGCUUUUCACUGACCAUGUAGGUGAUUAGUUGUGUGGGCAAAGUAUGUCAUCAUAGCGACUAUGUUUUCUGCACUUGUAGUAGACAGCACCUUGAUAGCUCAGUUGGUACAGCAGACCACUGUAGGCAAUUCCUCAUAUGAAGUGCGGUCAUUCCAAGGUCGCUGGUUCAACUCCCGCUCAAAGCAAGCCUUGUCUUCACCUGUCAGCUCCUCCAAAAUUUAAAAACACAAACAAGAUAACUCCUACUUUAUUUUCCAACCAUCAAUUUUUUAUUCACCCAGCCUAAAAGUCCUGAUUAUCAGUUCUGGGUCCCUGGCAAUGACUGUUGGGUACAAACUGAGAAGCUGUGCUCUGAAGGUAGGGCUGGGCUUUUCACUGACCAUGUAGGUGGAUUAGUUGUGUGGGCAAAGUAUGUCAUCCUAGCCACUAUGUUUUCUGCACUUGUAGUAGACAGCACCUUGAUAGCUCAGUUGGUAGAGCACAGGUCUGUAGGCAGUUCCUCAUAUGAAGUGCAGUCAUUCCAAGGUAGCUGGUUCAACUCCCGCUCAAAGCAAGCCUUGUCUUCACCUGUCUCCUCCUCCAAAAUUGAAAAACACAAACAAGAUAACUCCUACUUUAUUUUCCAACCAUCAAUUUUUUUUUCACCCAGCCUAAAAGUCCUGAUUAUCAGUUCUGGGUCCCUGGCAAUGACUGUUGGGUACAAACUGAGACGCUGUGCUCUGAAGGUAGGGCUGGGCUUUUCACUGACCAUGUAGGUGGAUUAGUUGUGUGGGCAAAGUGUGUCAUCAUAGCCACUAUGUUUUCUGCACUGGUUGUUUAUAGCACCUUGAUAGCUCAGUUGGUAGAGCAGAGGACUGUAGGCAGUUCUUCAUAUGAAGUGCUCUCAUUCCAAGGUAGCUGGUUCAACUCCCGCUCAAAGCAAGCCUUGUCUUCACCUGUCAGCUCCUCCAAUAUUUGAAAAAACACACAAGAUAACUCCUACUUUAUUUUCCAACCAUCAAUUUUUUUAUUCACCCAGCCUUAAAGUCCUGAUUAUCAGUUCUGGGUCCCUGGCAAUGGCUGUUGGGUACAAACUGAGAAGCUGUGCUCUGAAAUUAGGGCUGGGCUUUUCACUGACCAUGUAGGUGGAUUAGUUGUGUGGGCAAAGUAUGUCAUCAUAGCGACUAUGUUUUCUGCACUUGUAGUAGACAGCACCUUGAUAGCUCAGUUGGUACAGCAGACCACUGUAGGCAAUUCCUCAUAUGAAGUGCGGUCAUUCCAAGGUCGCUGGUUCAACUCCCGCUCAAAGCAAGCCUUGUCUUCACCUGUCAGCUCCUCCAAAAUUUAAAAACACAAACAAGAUAACUCCUACUUUAUUUUCCAACCAUCAAUUUUUUAUUCACCCAGCCUAAAAGUCCUGAUUAUCAGUUCUGGGUCCCUGGCAAUGACUGUUGGGUACAAACUGAGAAGCUGUGCUCUGAAGGUAGGGCUGGGCUUUUCACUGACCAUGUAGGUGGAUUAGUUGUGUGGGCAAAGUAUGUCAUCCUAGCCACUAUGUUUUCUGCACUUGUAGUAGACAGCACCUUGAUAGCUCAGUUGGUAGAGCACAGGUCUGUAGGCAGUUCCUCAUAUGAAGUGCUGUCAUUCCAAGGUAGCUGGUUGAACUCCCGCUCAAAGCAAGCCUUGUCUUCACCUGUCAGCUCCUCCAAAAUUGAAAAACACAAACAAGAUAACUCCUAAUUUAUUUUCCAACCAUCAAUUUUUUUUUCACCCAGCCUAAAAGUCCUGAUUAUCAGUUCUGGGUCCCUGGCAAUGGCUGUUGGGUACAAACUGAGAAGCUGUGCUCUGAAAUUAGGGCUGGGCUUUUCACUGACCAUAUAGGUGGAUUAGUUGUGUGGGCAAAGUGUGUCAUCAUAGCCACUAUGUUUUCUGCACUGGUUGUUUAUAGCACCUUGAUAGCUCAGUUGGUAGAGCAGAGGACUGUAGGCAGUUCUUCAUAUGAAGUGCUGUCAUUCCAAGGUCGCUGGUUCAACUCCCGCUCAAAGCAAGCCUUGUCUUCACCUGUCAGCUCCACCAAAAUUUGAAAACACAAACAAGAUAACUCCUACUUUACUUUCCAACCAUCAUUUUUUUAUUCCCCAGCCUAAAAGUCCUGAUUAUCAGUUCUGGGUCCCUGGCAAUGACUGUUGGGUACAAACUGAGAAGCUGUGCUCUGAAGGUAGGGCUGGGCUUUUCACUGACCAUGUAGGUGGAUUAGUUGUGUGGGCAAAGUGUGUCAUCAUAGCCACUAUGUUUUCUGCACUUGUAGUAGACAGCACCUUGAUAGCUCAGUUGGUAGAGCAGAGGACUUUAGGCAAUUCCUCAUAUAAAGUGCUGUCAUUUCAAGGUCGCUGUUUCAACUCCAGCUCAGAGCAAGCCUUGGCUUCACCUCUCAGCCCCUCAAAUAUUUAAAAACACAAACUAGAUAACUCCUACUUUAUUUUCCAACCAUCAAUUUUUUUAUUCACCCAGCCUAAAAGUCCUGAUUAUCAGUUCUGGGUCCCUGGCAAUGGCUGUUGGGUACAAACUGAGAAGCUGUGCUCUGAAAUUAGGGCUGGGCUUUUCACUGACCAUGUAGGUGUACUAGUUGUGUGGGCAAAGUAUGUCAUCAUAGCGACUAUGUUUUCUGCACUUGUAGUAGACAGCACCUUGAUAGCUCAGUUGGUAGAGCACAGGUCUGUAGGCAGUUCCUCUUAUGAAGUGCUGUCAUUCCAAGGUCGCUGGUUCAACUCCCGCUCAAAGCAAGCCUUGUCUUCACCUGUCAGCUCCUCCAGAAUUUAAAAACACAAACAAGAUAACUCCUACUUUAUUUUCAAACCAUCAAUUUUUUAUUCACCCAGCCUAAAAGUCCUGAUUAUCAGUUCUGGGUCCCUGGCAAUGGCUGUUGGGUACAAACUGAGAAGCUGUGCUCUGAAAUUAGGGCUGGGCUUUUCACUGACCAUGUAGGUGGAUUAGUUGUGUGGGCAAAGUAUGUCAUCAUAGCCACUAUGUUUUCUGCACUUGUAGUAGACAGCACCUUGAUAGCUCAGUUGGUAGAGCACAGGUCUGUAGGCAGUUCCUCAUAUGAAGUGCUGUCAUUCCAAGGUAGCUGGUUGAACUCCCGCUCAAAGCAAGCCUUGUCUUCACCUGUCUCCUCCUCCAAAAUUGAAAAACACAAAAAAGAUAACUCCUACUUUAUUUUCCAACCAUCAUUUUUUUUUUCACCCAGCCUAAAAGUCCUGAUUAUCAGUUCUGGGUCCCUGGCAAUGGCUGUUGGGUACAAACUGAGAAGCUGUGCUCUGAAGGUAGGGCUGGGCUUUUCACUGACCAUGUAGGUGGAUUAGUUGUGUGGGCAAAGUGUGUCAUCAUAGCCACUAUGUUUUCUGCACUGGUUGUUUAUAGCACCUUGAUAGCUCAGUUGGUAGAGCAGAGGACUGUAGCCAGUUCUUCAUAUGAAGUGCUCUCAUUCCAAGGUCGCUGGUUCAACUCCCGCUCAAAGCAAGCCUUGUCUUCACCUGUCAGCUCCUCCAAAAUUUAAAAAAACACACAAGAUAACUCCUACUUUAUUUUCCAACCAUCAAUUUUUUAUUCACCCAGCCUAAAAGUCCUGAUUAUCAGUUCUGGGUCCCUGGCAAUGGCUGUUGGGUACAAACCGAGAAGCUGUGCUCUGAAGGUAGGGCUGGGCUUUUCACUGACCAUGUAGGUGGAUUAGUUGUGUGGGCAAAGUGUGUCAUAAUAGCCACUAUGUUUUCUGCACUGGUUGUUUAUAGCACCUUGAUAGCUCAGUUGGUAGAGCAGAGGACUGUAGGCAGUUCUUCAUAUGAAGUGCUCUCAUUCCAAUGUCGCUGGUUCAUCUCCCGCUCAAAGCAAGCCUUGUCUUCACCUGUCAGCUCCUCCAAAAUUUAAAAACACAAACAAGAUAACUCCUACUUUAUUUUCCAAACAUCAUUUUUUUAUUCACCAGCCUAAAAGUCCUGAUUAUCAGUUCUGGGUCCCUGGCAAUGGCUGUUGGGUACAAACUGAGAAGCUGUGCUCUGAAGGUAGGGCUGGGCUUUUCACUGACCAUGUAGGUGGAUUAGUUGUGUGGGCAAAGUGUGUCAUCAUAGCCACUAUGUUUUCUGCACUUGUAGUAGACAGCACCUUGAUAGCUCAGUUGGUAGAGCAGAGGACUGUAUGCAGUUCCUCACAUGAAGUGCUGUCAUUCCAAGGUAGCUGGUUCAACUCCUGCUCAAAGCAAGCCUUGUCUUCACCUGUCAGCUCCUCCAAAAUUUAAAAACACAAACAAGAUAACUCCUAAUUUAUUUUCCAACCAUCAAUUUUUUUAUUCACCCAGCCUAAAAGUCCUGAUUAUCAGUUCUGGGUCCCUGGCAAUGGCUGUUGGGUACAAACUGAGAAGCUGUGCUCUGAAGGUAGGGCUGGGCUUUUCACUGACCAUGUAGGUGGAUUAGUUGUGUGGGCAAAGUAUGUCAUCAUAGCGACUAUGUUUUCUGCACUUGUAGUUGACAACACCUUGAUAGCUCAGUUGGUAGAGCACAGGUCUUUAGGCAGUUCCUCAUAUGAAGUGCUGUCAUUCAAAGGUCGCUGGUUCAACUCCUGCUCAAAGCAAGCCUUGUCUUCACCUGUCAGCUCGUCCAAAAUUUAAAAACACAAACAAGAUAACUCCUACUUUAUUUUCCAACCAUCAAUUUUUUUAUUCACCCAGCCUAAAAGUCCUGAUUAUCAGUUCUGGGUCCCUGGCAAUGGCUGUUGGGUACAAACUGAGAAGCUGUGCUCUGAAGGUAGGGCUGGGCUUUUCACUGACCAUGUAGGUGGAUUAGUUGUGUGGGCAAAGUGUGUCAUCAUAGCCACUAUGUUUUCUGCACUGGUUGUUUAUAGCACCUUGAUAGCUCAGUUGGUAGAGCAGAGGACUGUAGGCAGUUCUUCAUAUGAAGUGCUCUCAUUCCAAGGUCGCUGGUUCAACUCCCGCUCAAAGCAAGCCUUGUCUUCACCUGUCAGCUCCACCAAAAUUUAAAAACACAAACAAGAUAACUCCUAAUUUAUUUUCCAACCAUCAUUUUUUUAUUCACCAGCCUUAAAGUCCUGAUUAUCAGUUCUGGGUCCCUGGCAAUGGCUGUUGGGUACAAACUGAGAAGCUGUGCUCUGAAGGUAGGGCUGGGCCUUUCACUGACCAUGUAGGUGGAUUAGUUGUGUGGGCAAAGUGUGUCAUCAUAGCCACUAUGUUUUCUGCACUUGUAGUAGACAGCACCUUGAUAGCUCAGUUGGUAGAGCAGAGGACUGUAGGCAGUUCCUCACAUGAAGUGCUGUCAUUCCAAGGUAGCUGGUUCAACUCCCGCUCAAAGCAAGCCUUGUCUUCACCUGUCAUCUCCUCCAAAAUUUAAAAACACAAACAAGAUAACUCCUACUUUAUUUUCCAACCAUCAAUUUUUUUAUUCACCCAGCCUAAAAGUCCUGAUUAUCAGUUCUGGGUCCCUGGCAAUGGCUGUUGGGUACAAACUGAGAAGCUGUGCUCUGAAGGUAGGGCUGGGCUUUUCACUGACCAUGUAGGUGGAUUAGUUGUGUGGGCAAAGUAUGUCAUCAUAGCGACUAUGUUUUCUGCACUUGUAGUAGACAGCACCUUGAUAGCUCAGUUGGUAGAGCACAGGUCUUAAGGCGGUUCCUCAUAUUAAGUGCUGUCAUUCCAAUGUCGCUGGUUCAACUCCCGCUCAAAGCAAGCCUUGUCUUCACCUGUCAGCUCCUCCAAAAUUUAAAAGCACAAACAAGAUAACUCCUACUUUAUUUUCCAACCAUCAAUUUUUUAUUCACCCAGCCUAAAAGUCCUGAUUAUCAGUUCUGGGUCCCUGGCAAUGACUGUUGGGUACAAACUGAGAAGCUGUGCUCUGAAGGUAGGGCUGGGCUUUUCACUGACCAUGUAGGUGGAUUAGUUGUGUGGGCAAAGUAUGUCAUCCUAGCGACUAUGUUUUCUGCACUUGUAGUUGACAACACCUUGAUAGCUCAGUUGGUAGAGCACAGGUCUUUAGGCGGUUCCUCAUAUGAAGUGCUGUCAUUCAAAGGUCGCUGGUUCAACUCCUGCUCAAAGCAAGCCUUGUCUUCACCUGUCAGCUCGUCCAAAAUUUAAAAACACAAACAAGAUAACUCCUACUUUAUUUUCCAACCAUCAAUUUUUUUAUUCACCCAGCCUAAAAGUCCUGAUUAUCAGUUCUGGGUCCCUGGCAAUGGCUGUUGGGUACAAACUGAGAAGCUGUGCUCUGAAGGUAGGGCUGGGCUUUUCACUGACCAUGUAGGUGGAUUAGUUGUGUGGGCAAAGUAUGUCAUCAUAGCGACUAUGUUUUCUGCACUUGUAGUAGACAGCACCUUGAUAGCUCAGUUGGUAGAGCACAGGUCUUAAGGCGGUUCCUCAUAUUAAGUGCUGUCAUUCCAAGGUCGCUGGUUCAACUCCCGCUCAAAGCAAGCCUUGUCUUCACCUGUCAGCUCCUCCAAAAUUUAAAAACACAAACAAGAUAACUCCUACUUUAUUUUCCAACCAUCAAUUUUUUAUUCACCCAGCCUAAAAGUCCUGAUUAUCAGUUCUGGGUCCCUGGCAAUGACUGUUGGGUACAAACUGAGAAGCUGUGCUCUGAAGGUAGGGCUGGGCUUUUCACUGACCAUGUAGGUGGAUUAGUUGUGUGGGCAAAGUAUGUCAUCCUAGCGACUAUGUUUUCUGCACUUGUAGUUGACAACUCCUUGAUACCUCAGUUGGUAGAGCAGAGGACUGUAGCCAGUUCUUCAUAUGAAGUGCUCUCAUUCCAAGGUCGCUGGUUCAACUCCCGCUCAAAGCAAGCCUUGUCUUCACCUGUCAGCUCCUCCAAAAUUUAAAAAAACACACAAGAUAACUCCUACUUUAUUUUCCAACCAUCAAUUUUUUAUUCACCCAGCCUAAAAGUCCUGAUUAUCAGUUCUGGGUCCCUGGCAAUGGCUGUUGGGUACAAACCGAGAAGCUGUGCUCUGAAGGUAGGGCUGGGCUUUUCACUGACCAUGUAGGUGGAUUAGUUGUGUGGGCAAAGUGUGUCAUAAUAGCCACUAUGUUUUCUGCACUGGUUGUUUAUAGCACCUUGAUAGCUCAGUUGGUAGAGCAGAGGACUGUAGGCAGUUCUUCAUAUGAAGUGCUCUCAUUCCAAUGUCGCUGGUUCAUCUCCCGCUCAAAGCAAGCCUUGUCUUCACCUGUCAGCUCCUCCAAAAUUUAAAAACACAAACAAGAUAACUCCUACUUUAUUUUCCAACCAUCAUUUUUUUAUUCACCAGCCUAAAAGUCCUGAUUAUCAGUUCUGGGUCCCUGGCAAUGGCUGUUGGGUACAAACUGAGAAGCUGUGCUCUGAAGGUAGGGCUGGGCUUUUCACUGACCAUGUAGGUGGAUUAGUUGUGUGGGCAAAGUGUGUCAUCAUAGCCACUAUGUUUUCUGCACUUGUAGUAGACAGCACCUUGAUAGCUCAGUUGGUAGAGCAGAGGACUGUAUGCAGUUCCUCACAUGAAGUGCUGUCAUUCCAAGGUAGCUGGUUCAACUCCCGCUCAAAGCAAGCCUUGUCUUCACCUGUCAGCUCCUCCAAAAUUGAAAAACACAAACAAGAUAACUCCUAAUUUAUUUUCCAACCAUCAAUUUUUUUAUUCACCCAGCCUAAAAGUCCUGAUUAUCAGUUCUGGGUCCCUGGCAAUGGCUGUUGGGUACAAACUGAGAAGCUGUGCUCUGAAGGUAGGGCUGGGCUUUUCACUGACCAUGUAGGUGGAUUAGUUGUGUGGGCAAAGUAUGUCAUCAUAGCGACUAUGUUUUCUGCACUUGUAGUAGACAGCACCUUGAUAGCUCAGUUGGUAGAGCACAGGUCUUAAGGCGGUUCCUCAUAUUAAGUGCUGUCAUUCCAAGGUCGCUGGUUCAACUCCCGCUCAAAGCAAGCCUUGUCUUCACCUGUCAGCUCCUCCAAAAUUUAAAAGCACAAACAAGAUAACUCCUACUUUAUUUUCCAACCAUCAAUUUUUUAUUCACCCAGCCUAAAAGUCCUGAUUAUCAGUUCUGGGUCCCUGGCAAUGACUGUUGGGUACAAACUGAGAAGCUGUGCUCUGAAGGUAGGGCUGGGCUUUUCACUGACCAUGUAGGUGGAUUAGUUGUGUGGGCAAAGUAUGUCAUCCUAGCGACUAUGUUUUCUGCACUUGUAGUUGACAACACCUUGAUAGCUCAGUUGGUAGAGCACAGGUCUUUAGGCAGUUCCUCAUAUGAAGUGCUGUCAUUCAAAGGUCGCUGGUUCAACUCCUGCUCAAAGCAAGCCUUGUCUUCACCUGUCAGCUCGUCCAAAAUUUAAAAACACAAACAAGAUAACUCCUACUUUAUUUUCCAACCAUCAAUUUUUUUAUUCACCCAGCCUAAAAGUCCUGAUUAUCAGUUCUGGGUCCCUGGCAAUGGCUGUUGGGUACAAACUGAGAAGCUGUGCUCUGAAGGUAGGGCUGGGCUUUUCACUGACCAUGUAGGUGGAUUAGUUGUGUGGGCAAAGUAUGUCAUCAUAGCGACUAUGUUUUCUGCACUUGUAGUAGACAGCACCUUGAUAGCUCAGUUGGUAGAGCACAGGUCUUAAGGCGGUUCCUCAUAUUAAGUGCUGUCAUUUCAAGGUCGCUGGUUCAACUCCCGCUCAAAGCAAGCCUUGUCUUCACCUGUCAGCUCCUCCAAAAUUUAAAAACACAAACAAGAUAACUCCUACUUUAUUUUCCAACCAUCAAUUUUUUAUUCACCCAGCCUAAAAGUCCUGAUUAUCAGUUCUGGGUCCCUGGCAAUGACUGUUGGGUACAAACUGAGAAGCUGUGCUCUGAAGGUAGGGCUGGGCUUUUCACUGACCAUGUAGGUGGAUUAGUUGUGUGGGCAAAGUAUGUCAUCCUAGCGACUAUGUUUUCUGCACUUGUAGUUGACAACUCCUUGGUAGCUCAGUUGGUAGAGCACAGGUCUUUAGGCAGUUCCUCAUAUGAAGUGCUGUCAUUCAAAGGUUGCUGGUUCAACUCCUGCUCAAAGCAAGCCUUGUCUUCACCUGUCAGCUCCUCCAAAAUUUAAAAACACAAACAAGAUAACUCCUACUUUAUUUUCCAACCAUCAAUUUUUUUAUUCACCCAGCCUAAAAGUCCUGAUUAUCAGUUCUGGGUCCCUGGCAAUGGCUGUUGGGUACAAACUGAGAAGCUGUGCUCUGAAGGUAGGGCUGGGCUUUUCACUGACCAUGUAGGUGGAUUAGUUGUGUGGGCAAAGUGUGUCAUCAUAGCCACUAUGUUUUCUGCACUGGUUGUUUAUAGCACCUUGAUAGCUCAGUUGGUAGAGCAGAGGACUGUAGGCAGUUCUUCAUAUGAAGUGCUCUCAUUCCAAGGUCGCUGGUUCAACUCCCGCUCAAAGCAAGCCUUGUCUUCACCUGUCAGCUCCACCAAAAUUUAAAAACACAAACAAGAUAACUCCUAAUUUAUUUUCCAACCAUCAUUUUUUUAUUCACCAGCCUUAAAGUCCUGAUUAUCAGUUCUGGGUCCCUGGCAAUGGCUGUUGGGUACAAACUGAGAAGCUGUGCUCUGAAGGUAGGGCUGGGCCUUUCACUGACCAUGUAGGUGGAUUAGUUGUGUGGGCAAAGUGUGUCAUCAUAGCCACUAUGUUUUCUGCACUUGUAGUAGACAGCACCUUGAUAGCUCAGUUGGUAGAGCAGAGGACUGUAGGCAGUUCCUCACAUGAAGUGCUGUCAUUCCAAGGUAGCUGGUUCAACUCCCGCUCAAAGCAAGCCUUGUCUUCACCUGUCAUCUCCUCCAAAAUUUAAAAACACAAACAAGAUAACUCCUACUUUAUUUUCCAACCAUCAAUUUUUUUAUUCACCCAGCCUAAAAGUCCUGAUUAUCAGUUCUGGGUCCCUGGCAAUGGCUGUUGGGUACAAACUGAGAAGCUGUGCUCUGAAGGUAGGGCUGGGCUUUUCACUGACCAUGUAGGUGGAUUAGUUGUGUGGGCAAAGUAUGUCAUCAUAGCGACUAUGUUUUCUGCACUUGUAUUAGACAGCACCUUGAUAGCUCAGUUGGUAGAGCACAGGUCUUAAGGCGGUUCCUCAUAUUAAGUGCUGUCAUUCCAAGGUCGCUGGUUCAACUCCCACUCAAAGCAAGCCUUGACUUCACCUGUCAGCUCCUCCAAAAUUUAAAAACACAAACAAGAUAACUCCUACUUUAUUUUCCAACCAUCAAUUUUUUAUUCACCCAGCCUAAAAAUCCUGAUUAUCAGUUCUGGGUCCCUGGCAAUGACUGUUGGGUACAAACUGAGAAGCUGUGCUCUGAAGGUAGGGCUGGGCUUUUCACUGACCAUGUAGGUGGAUUAGUUGUGUGGGCAAAGUAUGUCAUCCUAGCGACUAUGUUUUCUGCACUUGUAGUUGACAACACCUUGAUAGCUCAGUUGGUAGAGCACAGGUCUUUAGGCAGUUCCUGAUAUGAACUGCUGUCAUUCAAAGGUCGCUGGUUCAACUCCUGCUCAAAGCAAGCCUUGUCUUCACCUGUCAGCUCCUCCAAAAUUUAAAAACACAAACAAGAUAACUCCUAAUUUAUUUUCCAACCAUCAUUUUUUUAUUCACCAGCCUUAAAGUCCUGAUUAUCAGUUCUGGGUCCCUGGCAAUGGCUGUUGGGUACAAACUGAGAAGCUGUGCUCUGAAGGUAGGGCUGGGCCUUUCACUGACCAUGUAGGUGGAUUAGUUGUGUGGGCAAAGUGUGUCAUCAUAGCCACUAUGUUUUCUGCACUUGUAUUAGACAGCACCUUGAUAGCUCAGUUGGUAGAGCAGAGGACUGUAGGCAGUUCCUCACAUGAAGUGCUGUCAUUCCAAGGUAGCUGGUUCAACUCCCGCUCAAAGCAACCCUUGUCUUCACCUGUCAUCUCCUCCAAAAUUUAAAAACACAAACAAGAUAACUCCUACUUUAUUUUCCAACCAUCAAUUUUUUUAUUCACCCAGCCUAAAAGUCCUGAUUAUCAGUUCUGGGUCCCUGGCAAUGGCUGUUGGGUACAAACUGAGAAGCUGUGCUCUGAAGGUAGGGCUGGGCUUUUCACUGACCAUGUAGGUGGAUUAGUUGUGUGGGCAAAGUAUGUCAUCAUAGCGACUAUGUUUUCUGCACUUGUAUUAGACAGCACCUUGAUAGCUCAGUUGGUAGAGCACAGGUCUUAAGGCGGUUCCUCAUAUUAAGUGCUGUCAUUCCAAGGUCGCUGGUUCAACUCCCGCUCAAAGCAAGCCUUGACUUCACCUGUCAGCUCCUCCAAACUUUAAAAACACAAACAAGAUAACUCCUACUUUAUUUUCCAACCAUCAAUUUUUUAUUCACCCAGCCUAAAAGUCCUGAUUAUCAGUUCUGGGUCCCUGGCAAUGACUGUUGGGUACAAACUGAGAAGCUGUGCUCUGAAGGUAGGGCUGGGCUUUUCACUGACCAUGUAGGUGGAUUAGUUGUGUGGGCAAAGUAUGUCAUCCUAGCGACUAUGUUUUCUGCACUUGUAGUUGACAACACCUUGAUAGCUCAGUUGGUAGAGCACAGGUCUUUAGGCAGUUCCUCAUAUGAAGUGCUGUCAUUCAAACGUCGCUGGUUCAACUCCUGCUCAAAGCAAGCCUUGUCUUCACCUGUCAGCUUGUCCAAAAUUUAAAAACACAAACAAGAUAACUCCUACUUUAUUUUCCAACCAUCAAUUUUUUUAUUCACCCAGCCUAAAAGUCCUGAUUAUCAGUUCUGGGUCCCUGGCAAUGGCUGUUGGGUACAAACUGAGAAGCUGUGCUCUGAAGGUAGGGCUGGGCUUUUCACUGACCAUGUAGGUGGAUUAGUUGUGUGGGCAAAGUGUGUCAUCAUAGCCACUAUGUUUUCUGCACUGGUUGUUUAUACCACCUUGAUAGCUCAGUUGGUAGAGCAGAGGACUGUAGGCAGUUCUUCAUAUGAAUUGCUCUCAUUCCAAGGUCGCUGGUUCAACUCCCGCUCAAAGCAAGCCUUGUCUUCACCUUUUAGCUCCACCAAAAUUUAAAAACACAAACAAGAUAACUCCUAAUUUAUUUUCCAACCAUCAUUUUUUUAUUCACCAGCCUUAAAGUCCUGAUUAUCAGUUCUGGGUACCUGGCAAUGGCUGUUGGGUACAAACUGAGAAGCUGUGCUCUGAAGGUAGGGCUGGGCCUUUCACUGACCAUGUAGGUGGAUUAGUUGUGUGGGCAAAGUGUGUCAUCAUAGCCACUAUGUUUUCUGCACUUGUACUAGACAGCACCUUGAUAGCUCAGUUGGUAGAGCAGAGGACUGUAGGCAGUUCCUCACAUGAAGUGCUGUCAUUCCAAGGUAGCUGGUUCAACUCCCGCUCAAAGCAAGCCUUGUCUUCACCUGUCAGCUCCUCCAAAAUUUAAAAACACAAACAAGAUAACUCCUACUUUAUUUUCCAACCAUCAAUUUUUUUAUUCACCCAGCCUAAAAGUCCUGAUUAUCAGUUCUGGGUCCCUGGCAAUGGCUGUUGGGUACAAACUGAGAAGCUGUGCUCUGAAGGUAGGGCUGGGCUUUUCACUGACCAUGUAGGUGGAUUAGUUGUGUGGGCAAAGUAUGUCAUCAUAGCGACUAUGUUUUCUGCACUUGUAGUAGACAGCACCUUGAUAGCUCAGUUGGUAGAGCACAGGUCUUAAGGCGGUUCCUCAUAUUAAGUGCUGUCAUUCCAAGGUCGCUGGUUCAACUCCCGCUCAAAGCAAGCCUUGUCUUCACCUGUCAGCUCCUCCAAAAUUUAAAAACACAAACAAGAUAACUCCUACUUUAUUUUCCAACCAUCAAUUUUUUAUUCACCCAGCCUAAAAGUCCUGAUUAUCAGUUCUGGGUCCCUGGCAAUGACUGUUGGGUACAAACUGAGAAGCUGUGCUCUGAAGGUAGGGCUGGGCUUUUCACUGACCAUGUAGGUGGAUUAGUUGUGUGGGCAAAGUAUGUCAUCCUAGCCACUAUGUUUUCUGCACUUGUAUUAGACAGCACCUUGAUAGCUCAGUUGGUAGAGCAGAGGACUGUAGGCAGUUCCUCAUAUGAAGUGCUAUCAUUCCAAGGUAGCUGGUUCAACUCCCGCUCAAAGCAAGCCUUGUCUUCACCUGUCUCCUCCUCCAAAAUUGAAAAACACAAACAAGAUAACUCCUACUUUAUUUUCCAACCAUCAAUUUUUUUUUCACCCAGCCUAAAAGUCCUGAUUAUCAGUUCUGGGUCCCUGGCAAUGACUGUUGGGUACAAACUGAGAAGCUGUGCUCUGAAGGUAGGGCUGGGCUUUUCACUGACCAUGUAGGUGGAUUAGUUGUGUGGGCAAAGUGUGUCAUCAUAGCCACUAUGUUUUCUGCACUGGUUGUUUAUAGCACCUUGAUAGCUCAGUUGGUAGAGCAGAGGACUGUAGGCAGUUCGUCAUAUGAAGUGCUUUCAUUCCAAGGUCGCUGGUUCAACUCCCGCUCAAAGCAAGCCUUGUCUUCACCUGUCAGCUCCUCCAAAAUUAAAAAAAACACACAAGAUAACUCCUUCUUUAUUUUCCAACCAUCAAUUUUUUAUUCACCCAGCCUAAAAGUCCUGAUUAUCAGUUCUGGGUCCCUGGCAAUGGCUGUUGGGUACAAACUGAGAAGCUGUGCUCUGAAGGUAGGGCUGGGCUUUUCACUGACCAUGUAGGUGGAUUAGUUGUGUGGGCAAAGUAUGUCAUAAUAGCCACUAUGUUUUCUGCACUUGUAGUAGACAGCACCUUGAUAGCUCAGUUGGUAGAGCAGAGGACUGUAGGCAGUUCCUCAUAUGAAGUGCUGUCAUUCCAAGGUCGCUGGUUCAACUCCCGCUCAAAGUAAGCCUUGUCUUCACCUGUCAGCUCCUCCAAAAUUUAAAAACACAAACAAGAUAACUCCUACUUUAUUUUCCAACCAUCAAUUUUUUAUUCACCCAGCCUAAAAGUCCUGAUUAUCAGUUCUGGGUCCCUGGCAAUGACUAUUGGGUACAAACUGAGAAGCUGUGCUCUGAAGGUAGGGCUGGGCUUUUCACUGACCAUGUAGGUGGAUU